GACGUAGGGCGCGAGCGUUGUCCGGAUUUAUUGGGCGUAAAGAGCUCGUAGGCGGCUUGUCGCGUCGGAUGUGAAAGCCCGGGGCUUAACUCCGGGUCUGCAUUCGAUACGGGCAGGCUAGAGUUCGGUAGGGGAGAUCGGAAUUCCUGGUGUAGCGGUGAAAUGCGCAGAUAUCAGGAGGAACACCGGUGGCGAAGGCGGAUCUCUGGGCCGAUACUGACGCUGAAGCACGAAAGCGUGGGGAGCAAACAGG
rnacentral:rRNA from 1 species